rnacentral:lncRNA from 1 species
AGCUGGAACCAAAGCAGCAGUCUGCAAAGCCGUUACCAACUUUGAAAUGGGUUAUUUAAGCUUCUAUCAAGGGAUCAACUGAAAUUUUUUCAAUAUUUCAGUAAGAGUACAAAAUUUUCGAAAUAAAGAACAUUUAGUGCUCCUGUUUGGCUUCCGGGAAAAUGCAGGAUGAACAGUAAUUAUUAAAAAUAAAAAAAAAGGAAUACUAAUGUCAAGUUUGAAACAAAUUUCUGUCGAUUUUCUUCGCUCAGAAGCCAAACCCUUCCAUCAUUCCAUAGAAGACAGGAGGAAGACAGAAAAGAAAACAAG